rnacentral:tRNA from 1 species
UCCGGAUUAGCUCAGCGGUAGAGCAGUGGACUGUUAAUCCAUUGGUCGCUUGUUCGAAUCAAGCAUCCGGAG